rnacentral:rRNA from 1 species
UGAGUACGAGCUGCUACGGCAGCGAAGUGGGUGAUGUCAAGCUUCCAAGAAAAGCCCUAUACCCGUUAAGGCAUGACGGCCUGUACCCGAAACCGACACAGGUGGGGUGGUAGAGAAUACCGAGGGGCGCGAGAUAACUCUCUCUAAGGAACUCGGCAAAAUGGCCCCGUAACUUCGGGAGAAGGGGUGCCACCGCAAGGUGGUCGCAGUGAAGAGGCCCAGGCGACUGUUUACCAAAAACACAGGUCUCCGCUAAGUCGCAAGACGAUGUAUGGGGGCUGACGCCUGCCCAGUGCCGGAAGGUUAAGGAAGCUGGUCAGCGCAAGCGAAGCUAGCGACUGAAGCCCCGGUGAACGGCGGCCGUAACUAUAACGGUCCUAAGGUAGCGAAAUUCCUUGUCGGGUAAGUUCCGACCCGCACGAAAGGCGUAACGAUCUGGGCGCUGUCUCGGAGAGAGGCUCGGCGAAAUAGAAUUGUCUGUGAAGAUGCGGACUACGUGCACCCGGACAGAAAGACCCUAUGAAGCUUUACUGUAGCUUGGUAUUGUGCCCGGGCUCUGAAUGCGCAGGAUAGGUGGGAGGCUUUGAUCCAUUGCUUGUGGGUAAUGGUGAGCCACUGGUGAGAUACCACUCUUUCAGAGCUAGGGUUCUAACGGUCACCCGUUAUCCGGGGACCGGACAGUAUCAGGUGGGCAGUUUGACUGGGGCGGUCGCCUCCUAAAAGGUAACGGAGGCGCGCAAAGGUUCCCUCAGGCUGGUUGGAAAUCAGCCGACGAGUGUAAAGGCAGAAGGGAGCUCGACUGUGAGACCUACAAGUCGAACAGGGACGAAAGUCGGCCUUAGUGAUCCGACGGUUCUGAGUGGAAGGGCCGUCGCUCAACGGAUAAAAGUUACUCUAAGGAUAACAGGCUGAUCUCCCCCAAGAGUUCACAUCGACGGGGAGGUUUGGCACCUCGAUGUCGGCUCAUCGCAACCUGGGGCUGAAGUCGGUCCCAAGGGUUGGGCUGUUCGCCCAUUAAAGUGGUACGCGAGCUGGGUUCAGAACGUCGUGAGACUGUUCGGUCCAUAUCCGGUGCACGCGCAGGAACAUUGAGAGGAUUUCUCCCUAGUACGAGAGGACCGGGAGGAACGCACCUCUGGUGUACCAGUUAUCGUGCCAACGGUAAACGCUGGGUAGCCAUGUGCGGAGCGGAUAACCGCUGAAAGCAUCUAAGUGGGAAGCCCACCUCAAGAUGAGUGUUCCCAUGGCAUAAGCCAGUAAGGUCACGGGAAGAACACCCGUUGAUAGGCUCUACGUGGAAGCGUGGCAACACGUGAAGCGGAGGAGUACUAAUAGACCGAGGGCUUGACC